rnacentral:rRNA from 1 species
UACGAAGGGGGCUAGCGUUGUUCGGAAUCACUGGGCGUAAAGGGCGCGUAGGCGGCUUUAUAAGUCGGGGGUGAAAGCCUGUGGCUCAACCACAGAAUUGCCUUCGAUACUGUAUGGCUUGAGACCGGAAGAGGUAAGUGGAACUGCGAGUGUAGAGGUGAAAUUCGUAGAUAUUCGGAAGAACACCCGUGGCUAAGGCGGCUCUCUAGUACGGUACUGACGCUGAGACGCGAAAGCGUGGGGAGCGAACAGG